rnacentral:rRNA from 1 species
GAUGAACGCUGGCGGCGUGCCUAAUACAUGCAAGUCGAGCGAACAGACGAGGAGCUUGCUCCUCUGACGUUAGCGGCGGACGGGUGAGUAACACGUGGAUAACCUACCUAUAAGACUGGGAUAACUUCGGGAAACCGGAGCUAAUACCGGAUAAUAUAUUGAACCGCAUGGUUCAAUAGUGAAAGACGGUUUUGCUGUCACUUAUAGAUGGAUCCGCGCCGCAUUAGCUAGUUGGUAAGGUAACGGCUUACCAAGGCAACGAUGCGUAGCCGACCUGAGAGGGUGAUCGGCGGCACUGGAGCUGAGACGCGGUCCAGGCUCCUACGGGAGGCAGCAGUAGGGAAUCUUCCGCAAUGGGCGGAAGCCUGGCGGAGCAACGCCGCGUGAGUGAUGAAGGUCUUCGGAUCGUAAAACUCUGUUAUUAGGGAAAAACAAAUGUGUAAGUAACUAUACACGUCUUGACGGUACCUAAUCAGAAAGCCACGGCUAACUACGUG